GGGGGAAAUUAAAUAGUUUUACAAAGCCGAAGGGUUUUCCGACUUACGAUGGAUGAAUUUCAUGUCAUAAAAAAUUGGGUGCGAGCGUCCACCAGGAAUAUUUCGCUCGAAAUACAGAUUUCUCUUGAAUCCGAGAUGUUAUUAUCAGCUGAUUAUAGAGGAGUUUUGUCGUGGAUGGGUACCAACCUCAUAUUUAUGAUAUUGUGGCUGCAUCACUUUUGUUUGGAGGUACAAGAGAACCAGUGACACAGAUAAAAGAUGCAGUUCCUAAGAGAUCCAAAGUCAGCAGCACCUAAGACUAAACUGACUUUGAAUUAUCAGCAUCCAAAACAAUGCAAAUCAAAAACAGGUUUUGUCUGUACAUCUGGCAAUCUUAGGACAAUACUGGAUGGUUUUAAUUAAGAACUGAUCAAGCAUGAAGACCAGCCAUGUGCCUCACCUGUCAUGACAUUA